rnacentral:lncRNA from 1 species
CAAAGGUUAUAUUGAAACAGAGCUUUGGCAUGAGCAAACAAAACCUGUUUCAUGGGCAUUUCACUCUAAGGAACUUGAGACAUCUAAGCGCCCCUCCGAGCCCAGAGGAUGCGGGAUCUGAAGCUGUCCUCUCCUGCGCAGCUCCAGCUAAGGGGAAGCAGGGUGAAAGUGUAGGCCCAGAGGACCAACAGUCCAUCCGGCAGAGAAACAGGGAGAAGAGCUUGCUGCAGCUGGGAAAGACCGAGGACACAGGGGCAGAGGGAGUGAAGGAGAUGAAUGAAUGGAUGGAGGAAGGAGGGAACGCGGAGGAAGGAAUUCCCAAGUCCCAUCCAGAGGGACCGAUGCAUGACUCUGUGGAUGGGUAGAUGCUAGACUGGAGAGGUAACAGAGCAUUAAGAGGAGCUGCUGGUCUGCAAGCCAGGGGUCGAAGGAUGGGGGAAACGAUCCUUGGUUGCGUGGCUGUCCUCCUCACAGACGCUGCUUCAUGUCUCUGCAGAUGGAACUUAAGAACUUUCUCUGGGACCUUCAAGGGGAAGGGUUGGAGUACAGGAUGGAGGACCCCAACAACACAUCUGGUGCUAAGAAUACCAGACAAAGCCUGGAUCCACCAUGAGACCACCUACUGUCCAAGGAGGUGUCAGAAAAGGAAGGCAGCUCACAGGAGGACGGACCUUCGCUCAUGGAAGGUGCGCUGGGCAGAGGGGCUCCCUUCACCUCUUCUGAGAACACCUCUACUCCUUGCCAUGGGGUGCGGGCUUUUACGGUGUGGCAAGGAAAAUCAAGAAAGCCAAGCUGGGGGAGGGCCGAGAUGCUUCCAAGCUCGGGUGAAACCAAGUUCAGAUCUAUCUAACUGCAUGUAUCAGGGCAUUUAUUGA